UGAAGAACGUCGUGAGAAUUAUUUUAUUAUGUUUUAUUUUUAUUAUUUUAUUAUUUCCCUUCUACGUGACUUUACCGAAAGAACCAAGAAGAUGAAUCCCUGCAGUCACGAAAGCUUUAAAUCGAAAUUUAAUAUGGAUCUUUGUUUAUUUUGAUGGGACGCACCAGCUCUGGGCUGGCAUAACAACCCAGGGGUUUUCGCAGCGGCGGGCGCGGGCGUCUCUGCAUUCGCACGGUGCGCCGAACGCAGUUGACCGCUGGCGGUGAGUUGGGUGAUGGGGGGGGGGAGGUGGAGGUGAAGCUGAGUCCACGGCGCUCACCGUUGUGGCUGGAAGAGGGACGAUGGUCCAUCGCGUCCGAACCGCUGGGGGAAGUGCACGAAGGCGCGGGCCAGGCGGCCGAGCAGCAGCUGUUCGGACGAGGAGGGAACCGCGACGUCCGGAGAAGCGCGGUCGAAACUAUCCCGUCUGAACAACAACAAAGACAACAAAGACAACAAUAACAAAGACAACAACAACAAAGACAACAACAAAGACAACAACAACAAAGACAACAACAACAAAGACAACAACAACAAAGACAACAACAACCCAGCGGUAGACCGGUGCCUGGGCCCCACUGAAUGGCGUGGCUCGGUGCGAUGUGCACACACAGCCGUGCGCCCCAGCGCGGGUGGACACGGAGAGGCCGGGUUACCAGCGCUUGAUGUUCGAACCACACACACAACAGGUAAGUCGUGCUGGGCCGAAUCAAUGUAGGGGAACCCCAGGCCAGAUUCGGAUAAUAAUAAUAAUAAUAAUCUGAAGGAAAAAAAACAAAGUCGUUCGUCACGGCCAGGAAAGAAGCCCAGGUCAUGGGUGAGCACAGCUGACCACGAAGACUCCAUCAUCAAUCCUCAUUUGUCUCUGUCCACCACCGAUUAGCACGGUUGGCUACGUACGGUGCGAAAGAAGUUCAACAUACAUACGCACAAGACAAGAGGCACCCACGUGGUCAUCGUUUACGGGAGGCCCAGUACAAAUUCAAAUGCAACUUGUCACCGAUGUGCUGUUUGCGAGCACCUAUUGAGCCGGGUAAAGUGCAAACUAAUUUGAGGCACCCAGACCACCGGUUUGGUUAUUCGUCACCGGUGCUGGCGGCCGCGAGCGGGAAUCGAACUCCGGUCAGCAUCGCUCAAGCGCAGGGCCCAGUGGCAUUAAUUGUGGCCUCACAUGCCGUGUGUCGCACGACCACUUAAAAUGAUCACGUUUUCUCCCACCACUUCCCCGCGACACCAAAACCCUCAACAGACCCACGCACCCCCCCCCCCCGUCUCCCCAACCAUCUCCCUCAACAACCCACAGAGUCAGCCCCAUCGCUCACCCGACCGCCGGGCAACCAAUUGUUAGGCGGUCGGAUGUCGGCGUGGAUAUGGAUCGCGAGAA